UACGUAGGGGGCAAGCGUUAUCCGGAUUUACUGGGUGUAAAGGGAGCGUAGGCGGCGGAGCAAGUCAGAAGUGAAAGCCCGGGGCUCAACCCCGGGACGGCUUUUGAAACUGCCCUGCUUGAUUUCAGGAGAGGUAAGCGGAAUUCCUAGUGUAGCGGUGAAAUGCGUAGAUAUUAGGAGGAACACCAGCGGCGAAGGCGGCUUACUGGACUGACAAUGACGCUGAGGCUCGAAAGCGUGGGGAGCAAACAGG
rnacentral:rRNA from 1 species